rnacentral:lncRNA from 1 species
UUUGUCUUCCUCCUGAACUUGUGAAGGCUUCGAUGACUGAAAUCAUCAAGGCACUCAGGAAACUUCCGAGCCCGAAAACACUCGUGUACAGUGCAAACCCCAUCGUUCGCAUCCUAACAGGUACUUCAUUGUAGAAGAACUCUUGCAUCCCUACAACUGUGAAAAUGUCUGAAAUUCCUAGAAGAACAUAUUGAGGAAGCAACCAAAAGAUGCUUAGUUCUACUGUUUCUGAUUCUAGGGAACUCGUCUUCCUGUUGAUCUCGAGCCUCUUUGUUUCGACAACUGCAGCUAUGAUCAUAGCAAUGAUGGAUAGAAACAUGCCGACUCCCAUCCUUUGCAUUACGGUAAUACCUUUUUGAUUGCGGGUAACAAUUUGGGUGAUUGGGAUCAAAACUUUGUCAUAUAAUGGCAUCAUUAGUAUUAUAGAUAACGUAAUUGCACUUUGUAGUGUUGCUGGUGGGAUCUUGAAGUUCCUACCGAUGUUCCUCUUCAUUGUCAUGCCUUGUUUCGUAAAAAAGGUUGCAGGUUGUUGGAAAAUUACAGCAAACAUCAGAAGCAUUGCCCAUAUUGGCAAAAGCCUGAGUACUAUUUUUGCGUUUUCAAGCAGGUGAGUUUUGUUUCUGAGAUUCCCAUCGAAACCACCAUUGCUGCCAAACUUUUGAUCACAAAGAGGUUUCUCUUGAAGCCUAUAAAACAAGCGAGAAUGAUAUCAGAAACUCAUGGGAAAUCACAAAAUCUGAAGCUUCCUCGAUAUCCCAACAUGAAAACUUACUCAAGCUCCCCUACAUCAGACUUGUCAUCUGGUAAGUUGAUUCUGAUUCUGCCAUUGACAAGCUUUGAUGCAGUCACUUUGAUUACUUGAAGUAUGUUCUGAAAGGGCUUACUGUCAAUGCUUUUAUCUGGUUUAUAUGCAUAGAUUCGGUUACCACAUGUGAAAAUUGCAACUGAUGUAAUCAUUGCAAACAUGGGGAUGGCAAAUCCAAGUACCCAACCAAAGGUGUCUUGGAUGUAGGACAUAAGUAUGAGACCUAAGAGGCUGCCACUACAAACACCAAAAUACCACCA